rnacentral:rRNA from 1 species
GAAGCAAAGCCGCGAGGUAGAGCAAAUCUCAAAAAAACAUCUCAGUUCAGACUGCAGGCUGCAACUCGCCUGCACGAAGUCGGAAUUGCUAGUAAUCGUAGGUCAGCAUACUACGGUGAAUACGUUCCCGGGCCUUGUACACACCGCCCGUCAAACCAUGAGAGUUGGCAACACCCGAAGUCGGUAGUCUAACCGCAAGGAGGGCGCUGCCGAAGGUGGAUUGGUAAUUGGGGUGAAGUCGUAACAAGGUACC